rnacentral:rRNA from 1 species
CACGUAGGGGCGAGCGUUUGUCCGGAUUUAUUGGGCGUAAAGAGCUCGUAGGCGGCUCAGUAAGUCAGGUGUGAAAACUCCAGGCUCAACCUGGAGACGCCACCUGAUACUGCUGUGGCUAGAGUCCGGUAGGGGAGCAUGGAAUUCCUGGUGUAGCGGUGAAAUGCGCAGAUAUCAGGAGGAACACCAGUGGCGAAGGCGGUGCUCUGGGGCCGGAACUGACGCU